UUAUUGCAGUCGUACUUUUCUGUGGCUCUUUAUCUGAGUUUGAUGCCUCCUCACAGCAUAAUUGAUAGGUUUACCCGACAGAUUACGCUCAACCUCGCGGGGUUCCCGCGAACCGCAUACAGGGAGACACAAGGGGCACUCUGAAGUAGUUAUUAACGUGCUCUAUUUAUCUGUUUGAGAUAGCACUAGUGCCAUGAACUCUUUGAUGGCCACAAGAAGUUGAAAAAUCGCGCCAAACUUAUCCACCAGUAAUACAGGAGUGAUGUGUCCUUAUUGAAGAAUGUGUUAGGUUAGGUGUGUAUGCAGAGGUGACUAUCUAGACUUCUGAAAAUAAGCGUCAAAAAUAAGGACAUGAAAACUUCUGCACAAUCACCGCCAUUGAAAAAGCCACAAAACAAGGCCUUGUACCGGCGCCAGUGAACCUACACUAAACUAAUCCUUCAAUUGGUGUAAAUGGUGCGCAAUGGAGCCUGUAAGUGCGGCCUAUGUGGUUUUCCGGGAUUUUUUGUCUUGAUUAUGUCUUCCUGUUCAUCAAAACUAAUAACUUACGGAGACGGGGCAAGUCUGCAUCUUCCCAUGCUUUUCAAAUAAAAACACCGGUAGUAAUACAAUGACUCUAGUCAUUUUCUUUUGAAUAUUGUGUAGUGAAUACUCACGAAACACAAGCCGUGCUCGAUAAAAAAGCUAGAAACAUCUACCAGUGUGGAUCAAAGAUGGCGGCCAUUUGACUCGUGAUCGAUUCAGUGCACAUUUGUUUCUCUAGAACGGCGUUAGCUCAGGUUAUAUUAUUAACUUAGCAUACCCUACGGCCAUGACUAGCCGAAAGUAUUCUCCAAGAUUUAGUGAUUUAUGAGAUGGCUCCACAAAUCUUUUUUCAGAGUCGAAACAAAGUGACGCCGGAGAUGCCGAUCUUUUUGCUUGGUUGAACGGGGCAUUGAUUAUUACAAAACCUAGGGAUCCUAUACCCUACUUCAGAUACUCCAGUAUCAACAAUUUAUCAAUUAUCAUUAAUCAAGAGUCCCAAAGGCUCAUGCACACAUUUCAAAGUUUAAGCUAGAAUUUACAGCAAUCCACUUUGCUUAAAUGCUGUUGGCACCAAGUGGUAUACCCUCAAGACAAGACUCAAUAAAAAACUCAAGUGUGCUUUUUUCGAUGUGUUAAAAUGCAAUGUGCAUCUAAUGAUCUAGUGUGUAGUGGGUGCUAGGGUUUGGUUUUUCAUUUGCAAAGAAAAGGCUAGAUCUGUAGAGAACGUGGCUUGUUUGCAGAAGAUAAUGCCAUCAAAGCAACGUUAUCUCUGGCGUCGCAUCUCAACCGAAAAGCCGAGUUCUCACGCGACUUAUCCCUUUGACUUUGAUUUUUUUCUAAAAAAAAAGAUUGUUUUAUUUACAUAAGUCCAUCCUAAGCAUCACGUAUUUGAACCUCAAAUACCAAGUUAUUUUGAGCCUUUUAUGGAUUCGAUACGGAAGAUUUUCUUUUUCUUUUGAUUUGACAAAGUUGUCUCUUACUCAUCUGACAAUAAGUCUCGGACUAAUUGUUCUAUUGAUCUCGAUCAUUAUUGAAGUCGGUGUUUUUGGACGGAUAUAGCGUUAAGCUCGAGAAUGUAUAAAAGCCACAGAUAACUUGCUCUAAUCUGCACUCGAAGAGGAUUAAUUAUUUCGGCAAGAGCCUCUAUCCCGCCCCCUUCGUGCUUGAACAAACAGAACAAGCCGAGACCGCUUUUUUACUCAAUUUCCUCAAUGUUUACCAAGGUAUUUACACAACUACAGUUAAAGAAAUAAAUUACAAAGUCCAUCAGACUAUUUGAAAUGCCUCUAUGGGUAACCUUUUGUCUAAUGUGGGUUUAAAAAUGGCCUAACAAAAUACUUGAUUAACUGCAUAGUUUGAAAGCUAAUAGUACUAAAUGAUUAUAUAAACAGGUUAAUUCAGAAGCAAUAAGACAUUAUUGGUUUUUGUAAUCGCUGUUGUGGUUAUCCAUGGAGUGCGCAUUGAAGUCGAUUUACUUCAACAGAAAGUGUGUCAAACUUCAGUAAUUUAACGCCGAACAAAGUUUUUUUGAAACCGCCUUCUACGGAUAUAGUUUAUACUUUUUCAGCUUUUUCAAGCUGUCUUAAAUAAUUGCAUUGGUCAGUGAAACUCUAAUUAGGGUAACAGGAAACAGACAAAUUGUGGCAUCCGUAGCAUCGGUUAUGUGUUAGUUACGAGUAUCUACUCUAGUCCGCGCUCCCGUAGCAAGUUCGUCUAUGUCAAUACAUCAGAGUGAGCUAAAGACUACAUACCAAGCUUCAUAAUUCCCUCCCAUAUUUUAUUGUUACAAUACUUGAGAGUUUUGAAGGAAUCUACGCUCUCAAGGUCCUCCACCUGGCCUCUGCUCCAGCCACCCAUUUUGCAUUUGCGAGGGGAGACAGGAGCUGAUAUUUCCACAGUUUGUCGGUCACUCUUUGCAAAUUAAGAGGUUAAAGCCUGGCUGGAAUGAGUGAAUGCCUUUCCCGCUGCGCUACGGAUCCUAAAGGUAUUAAAGCGGCCGACAAAGAUAUAGGUUUUCGUCUAAUUGGAAAUCCAUGUGAAUGCGGGCCUGUAUGGAGGGCGAUACGAGAAGAGCGAUCCGUCAUUUCUAGAAAUAGCCAGUUGAUGGCGUAAGCUGUUUCGUUUCGUCUCGGACUGAGGCUGUUUCUGAGCACUGACAUAUCACGCGGUUGCACAAACAUAGGCAAUAUAAAUAUCUGCAAUACUGCUAUCACACUUCCAAUUUAACCUUUGAAGUGCUUAAUUACAAACCUUCCAUCAUAUGAAAUCGAGAACCAUGCGUGCAGGGGUGGCUCCAAAAAUAAGCCGAAAAGCGUUCUCAAUUCCAAAGACGAAUUGUUGCAGUGUUUAUUUGUUUUUAGGUAUCUAAAAAUAAUAAUAGACUGCGGCCGGUUUUUAAUUAAAUUUUGUCGUUUGAUGUAUACGUGUACACGCCUCGGCCAGUUGUUACUAUAGCAAAUGCUUGACAUUUUUGACAAACUGUCCAUACAAAUAUCGGGUCUGCGUUAGCCCUGCUUACUGAAUUUGACAACACGGAGUUCGUGCCGGAUUUGUUGUGAUGGUGCUGUCUGUCCAGUUCAUGAAACGCACUUUCCAAAGAACCCUGUAUUGAGUAACACUUUCUGGUGCAGAAAAGGGCAUGGUUGUUUUACUUGAGUUUUUUCACACGAAGAAAAGAGAUAUCAAUCGCAGCGGACAGUUUAAUUAAAUAAGGCCUUCAAAAGCUAAGUAAAUAAACUUAAUGAAAAAAGCACACAAUAGGUGAGAGUAAU